GUUACAAUGGCGACUACAGCGGGAAGCCACUUGGCGACAAGGAGCGGAACCCGAAAACCGGUCUCAGUUCGGAUCGGAGUCUGCAACCCGACUCCGUGAAGCUGGAUUCGCUAGUAAUCGCGCAUCAGCCAUGGCGCGGUGAAUACGUUCCCGGGCCUUGUACACACCGCCCGUCAAGCCAUGGGAGCCGGGGGUGCUUGAAGUGCGUCGCCGCGAGGCGCGCCCUAGAGCAAAACCGGUGACUGGGGCUAAGUCGUAACAAGGUACC
rnacentral:rRNA from 1 species